rnacentral:misc_RNA from 1 species
GGACAUGCGCAUAGCGUGCGAUUCUGAAGAGCGGCAAAAACAUCAUUGGUGAAGAUGCGAUAGUUGUACACGUUACCACAGCAACGAUUUUUCUUCCGCAAGCAUGGCAGACAAGACUGCACCAGACUCUCAGCUGCGACUUGAGUGGGUUUUUGGCUACAGAGGCCACCAAUGUCGCAAUAAUCUUUAUUACACAGCUAACAAAGAUUUGGUUUAUUUCGUGGCAGGUGUGGGUAUUGUUUACAAUGUACGGGAUCGAAAGCAAAAAUUUUUCCUUGGACAUGAUGAUGACAUUGUAAGUUUAACGCUGCAUCCAGACCGGACACUGGUGGCAACAGGGCAGAUAGGGAAAGCACCCUACAUAUGUGUAUGGGACACUGUAACUACUGAAACUGUGUCCAUCUUAAAGGAUGGCCAUCAACAUGGUGUUGGCGCAGUGGGUUUCAACAAAGAAGGCACUCGACUGGUUUCAGUUGGGAUGGACCAGCAUUCUGUGAUCAACAUCUGGGACUGGAGAAGGGGCAAAAUUAUAGCAACAGCAAGAGGACAUUCAGACAAAGUCUUUGAUGUGCAAUUUCAACUUUACAAAGAGAAUAUGGUGGUCUCCUGUGGAGUCAAGCAUAUAAAGUUUUGGUCUCUUUCUGGGAACACUCUUUCACCUAGAAAGGGAGUGUUUGGAAAGACAGGAGAGAUUCAGACUAUGCUUUGUCUGGCUUUUGGUCCUGAGUCCACAACUUAUGCAGGUACCCUUAGCGGUGAUGUGUACAUUUGGCGAGAGAGCACUCUGGACAGAGUCGUGUCACUGGCCCAUAAUGGUCCAGUCUAUACCCUUGCUAUGUGUGAAGAGGGAUUUGUAUCUGGAGGUAAAGAUGGUAUUGUUAAGUUGUGGGAUGUGGACUUCAAGCCUGUCACAAACAUCAGUCUUGUCAAUGCACCUUCUGGCUACAAAGGACUUUGCAUCAGGAGUGUUUGUUCAAGAGGUGACUAUGUUUUGAUUGGAACACAAGAAAGUGAAAUCUUUGAGGUGCAGAUAAAAAAUCGUGAGAAGCCAAAAUGUUGGGUGCAGGGUCAUGCAGAAGGAGAAUUAUGGGCCUUGGCUGUCCACCCCAAAAAGCCCAUCUUUGCUACAGGCAGUGAUGAUCAAACUGUAAGAUUGUGGAAUAUGAACAGCUAUGAAUUGCUCUCUAGAACUACAGUGGAACAAAAAGUGCGCUCCUGUAGCUUUGAUGCUGAAGGCCAGCACCUGGCCUUGGGCAUGAUGGAUGGCUCAUUCCUGGUUCUGAAUACUAGAGAUCUGUCAGAAAUAAUUCAUAUCAAGGAUCGCAAGGAAGUGAUUCAUGAGAUGAAGUACUCACCCUGUGGUAAAUUCCUAGCUGUAGGUUCCAAUGACAACUUUGUUGACAUCUACUCUGUAGAACAGCGCUAUAAGCGGGUGGGUACUUGCUCAGGAAGCUCCAGUUUCAUCACACAUAUAGACUGGUCUGUAGACAGCAAGUUUUUGCAGACCAACAGUGGCGCUGGAGAACAUCUCUUUUUCAGGAUGCCAACUGGGAAACAGGUGACAAGCAAAGAGGAGAUACAGAGCAUACACUGGGCAACAUUUACUGGAGUGCUAGGAGCUGAAGUCAAUGGUAUUUGGGAAAAAUACACAGACACUAAUGACGUCAAUGCCACAGAUGCCAACUUCAGUGCACAAGUUACAGUCACGGGUGAUGAUUUUGGCUGGGUCAAACUGUUCCGCUUUCCAUGCUUAAAAAAAGGUGCUAAAUUUAGGAAGUACGUGGGACACUCUGCACAUGUCACAAAUGUACGCUUUUCUUCAGACAAGCAAAGAGUGAUCACAACAGGUGGUGCUGAUCAUGCCAUUUUUCAGUGGCGUUUCCUGUCACAAGGCACUGGUCAUGAUGAUGAUCUGCCUGAUGUCCACAAUGCUUAUGUGGAUUCCAACAGUGAAGGAAGUGAUUCUGAACUGUCAGAUGUAGCUUCUUUGGAUUCUGAUGUGGAGCAAGAGAAACAGAUUCAGUAUCAGCGCUGCCUGUAUCGUGAAGAUGCUGCACAGAUGAAAAAGCUUAUACAACAGGAGAUAAAGCCUGGAGAAAAACGCAAACAAGGACCCAAUGAUGGUCUGCGACUGGAGUAUGUCCAUGGAUAUCGAGGAUAUGACUGCCGCAAUAACCUGUUUUACACCCAGACAGGUGAAGUUGUUUAUCAUGUGGCAGCAGUUGGGAUAGUGUACAACAAGGAGAAGAACCAACAGCGAUUUUACACGGAACACUCUGAUGACAUUCUGUGUCUCUGCAUCCAUCCUCUUAAAGACCUUAUUGCUACAGGACAGGUUGGACGAGAUCCUAGCAUUCAUGUCUGGGAUGCAGAAACUUUGAAGACUGGAGCCAUUCUCAAGGGCCAACAUGAAAGAGGUGUUUGUGCUGUGGAUUUCUCAGCUGAUGGCAGGCAUCUUGCAUCAGUUGGGUUGGACGAUAACCACUGUAUAGUUGUGUGGGACUGGAAGAAGGGAGAAAAACUAGCUACCACCAGGGGACACAAAGACAAAAUUUUUGUGGUAAAGUGGAAUCCUUUUGAUGCAACCAAACUGGUCACAGUCGGUGUCAAACACAUCAAGUUCUGGAAUCAGACAGGAGGAGGUUUCACUUCCAACAGAGGUACAGUAGGUCAGGUGGCUAAACUAUGUGACAUGAUGUGUGUGUCAUAUGGUAAAACAGCAGAUGUUUGCUUCUCUGGAGGCGCAGAUGGCAACAUCUUCAUAUGGAAUGGAUUGGUCCUCCAGAAAGUAGUCAAGGCCCAUGAUGGCCCUGUUUUUGCCAUGCACUCACUUGACAAAGGCUUUGUGACUGGUGGCAAGGAUGGUGUUAUUGGUCUUUGGGAUGACCAGUUUGAGAAAUGUCUUAAAACAUACAGCAUUAAAAAAGCAUCCAUUGCCCAAGGGUCAAGGGGCAUACUAACAUUGGAAUCGCCUGCUGUACGUGCCAUUGUACUAGGUCAUGGCAAGAUUUUGGUAGGCACUGUGACUGGAGAAAUUCUUGAAGUGGACAAAGCUGGACCUAUGUCUAUUCUAGCACAGGGCCACAUGCAGGGAGAGCUGUGGGGGUUGGCUACCCAUCCUGCUAAACCCUUGUAUGCCACAGUCAGUGAUGACAAGACCUUGAGAAUCUGGUCUUGUGAAGAUGCCCAUCAGCUUAUAAGCAUGAAGGAACUGAAGCAUGCUGGCCGUUGUGUUUGUUUUUCACCUGAUGGAAAGUUCCUUGCUGUUGGGUUUAAGGAUGGAAGUUUCACAGUGGUAAAUGCAGACACAUUGGAUCCCGUGGCAUCAUUUCAUCACAGGAAAGAAGAAAUUUCAGAUAUACGUUUUUCACCAGACAUAGGAAAGUAUUUGGCUGUAGCAUCCCAUGACAACUUUGUUGACAUCUAUAAUGUCCUGGGUAGCAAGCGCAUUGGCACCUGCAAAGGAGCUUCAAGUUACAUCACUCAUAUUGACUGGGAUAAAAAAGGCAAAGUUCUUAUGGUGAACUCUGGAGCGAAAGAACUGCUUUUCUUUGAGGCUCCUAGAGGAAAACGAAUCACGAUCAACAGCUCAGAGAUUGAAAAAUUCAGCUGGUCAACAUGGACAGGUGUGCUUGGUGCAGCUUGUGAAGGAGUGUGGCCUCCAAAAAGUGAUGUAACUGAUGUCAAUGCUGCAUGUUUGUCACCUGAUAAUACUCUCCUGGCUACUGCUGAUGACUUUGGUUUUGUUAAACUAUUUAGCUACCCUGUAAAGGGGAAGUUUGCCAAGUACAAGAAGUAUGUUGGUCACAGCGCCCAUGUCACUAAUGUUCGAUGGACAGGUGAUGGCCGCAGACUGAUUUCAACUGGGGGUGCUGAUACAGCUGUGAUGGUGUGGACUCGUCAGUCUGUAGGAGAAAGAGGACUGUCUAAAGGAGAUAGUGAUGACUCUGAUACUGACUCAGAAGAAGAAGGUUAUGACAGUGAUGUAGAGAGGGAGAAGAAUAUUGAUUACACCACAAAGAUCUUUGCCACAUCUGUUCAGAGGAAGGAGGGUGUGCGUCCAAACCUGCAAGAAAUUGAGGAAGUUAAAAAACCAGCUGUCAGUCGUAAUGCACCAGAGCCUCCCAAGGUGAAGAUGGCAGAGCCAGUUACAACAGGCGGCAAGAAGAGGAAAAUAACACAAGUGACAAACCUUGAGUUGGAACGCAUCCAGGGGUACAGAGGGUUUGAUGCUCGCAGCAAUUUGUUUUAUGUUAAUGAUGGCAGUGAUAUUAUCUUCCACGCUGCUGGUGCUGGCAUUGUGCAGAACCUGUCCUCAGGUGCUCAGUCAUUCUACCUUAAACACACUGAUGACAUCAUUGCACUUGCUGUCAAUAAACAUCCAAAAUUUCGCAAUGUCAUUGCUACAGCACAGAUCAGUGAUGUGCCAACUGUGCACAUCUGGGAUGCCAGCUCAAAAGAUACUCUGUCAGUCCUGCAGGGAAAUCACAAAACUGGAAUAUGCUCUCUGGACUUUUCUUGCACUGGCAAGAUGCUUCUGACAGUUGGGCUGGAGAAUGAGCACAAUAUUAUUAUCUGGCGGUGGCAGGAUGGUGUCAAGGUGGCAGGUGCACCAGGUCACAGCAAGCGCAUUUUCCGAGCAGAAUUUCGGCCUGACUCUGAUACUCAGUUUGUGACUGUAGGUGUCAAACAUGUAAAAUUCUGGUCAGUCGCUGGAGGCCAGCUUGUUGGGAAGCGGGGAAUAAUUGGUGCUGUGGCCAGUCCAUCAGGUCCCAUGUACAAAAUGCAGACCAUGCUAUCUGUUGCAUUUGGGACGAAUAAUGUGACAUACACAGGAGCCAUCAGUGGUGAUGUUUAUGUGUGGCAGGACUCAAGCCUAACACGUGUGGUGACAAAGGCACAUAAUGGACCUGUUUUUGCCAUGUUUACAACUCUUAGAGAUGGUCUUCUUGUCACAGGUGGAAAGGAAAUAUCAUCUAAAGACAGUGGACCUGUUAAGCUGUGGGACCCAGAGAUGAAAAGGUGUCGAGCGUUUCCAAUCACAGAGGCUGGAACUGCAUUGGAGAGUGUGAAAUCUGUCUGUCGAGCAAAAGGAAAAAUUCUUGUAGGUACACGUAAAAAUCAAAUUCUAGAAGUGAAUGAGAAAACAGGCAAUAUGCAGCUUCUGAUGUCUGCACAUGCUGAGGGGCUGUUGUGGGCACUGGACUGUCAUCCCCUAGCUGCCCGCUACAUCACUGCUGGCUUUGACAACACACUCCGCCUCUGGGACAUACCAAACAAGUCAAUGGUUGCCAGAAUGGAAGUUGGAAGUGCACGGUCUGCCUCAUUCAGCCCAGAUGGAGAUUUGAUUGCAGUCGGUCUGAAAACUGGUGAAUUCAUCUUGCUGGCCACAGCAGGCUUCAAGCUCUGGGGACGUAAACGAGAUAGAUCUGCUCCCAUUAAUGAUAUCAGGUUUAGCCCAGACUCCAAAAUACUUGCUGUUGGAUCUGAGGAUUGCUGUGUGGACUUUUAUGAUCUGACUUCUGGUCCUUCCCUAACUCGCACUGGGUACUGCAAGGGUAUCCCUAGCUUUGUCAUCCAGAUGGAUUUUUCAGCUGACAGCCAUUACAUUAGGGUAAGCACUGGAGCUUACAUCAACCAAGUGUUUGUGGUACCUGCUGGCAACCUACUAGAGGAUGAGGCGAUCAUAAACAAGAUUACCUGGAAUACCUGGACGAGUGUCCUUGGGAAAGAAGUUUUGGGAAUCUGGCCUAAGGAUUCAAGUAAAGCUGAUAUAAACUGUGCUGACCUGUCUCAUCUUGGCAAUGCAUUGGCUACUGGUGAUGAUUUUGGAUCUGUCAAGUUGUUCGAGUUCCCUUGUCCAGACAAGUUUAACAUGGCACCUCACAAAACAUUUGUUGGCCAUUCGGCACAUGUGACGGGCGUGCGCUUCACAUUCGAUGAUAAAUAUCUCAUCAGCAUUGGAGGCGAUGAUUGUUGCAUAUUCAUAUGGAAAUGCAUUUGAAAGGAUUUGCUUACAACCCUAGAGCUAUGACUAACAGCAACAUUGUCAACACUGCCACCCAGAUGUGUAAAGAAAUUGUACUAUAUUAUUGUAAUAUCUACACAGUUAUGGCACUUAAGUUGAGGUUCUCAUCUGCAAUUUGAUGAUUAUAUAGGCUCUAAUAUUUCUGUUGAAAAAGUUUCCCAUUAUCCCUUUAUAUGAACAUUUAUAUCUUUCUUGAUAUCUGAACUUUUCACUUUUAUCCAUAACAGAUUAUCAGUUAGCUUUAUCUAUAUUAGAUUAUAUAUCUUCCGUCCAUUUACUGAUUUACUUAUACACAAUUUUACUACUGUCUCCAGCUUAAUUAUCCCUUCACAAUUUGCACUUCAAAUGUGAAUGUCUUCAUAGCUACAGCUCAUUUUCAUCAAUACACCAUUUUGAAUAAGCUAAUGUUCUCCUUAUCUUUAGACACAUUUUUAGCUGCUGUAAAACUUUUUUAAAAACAAAUUCUUUUUCAUAAGACAAAAUCAAAAGGGGGCUGUAGGUUCAGAUUGUCUGCAGUCACAAACCUCUGUGGAUGUGGAGCCUGUUAAAAGUGCUGGACUAGCUCAGCAUGAUGCACGUCCUCAAUUGCUGCACUCUAGAUAAUUUUUGUCUUUGUCCUUAAUCCCUUAUUGUGAUAAUUAGUCCUUAUUUGUGAUAUGUGAUACAUGCAGUCUCUGUGAUAGUGAAGUUGGUAUUACACAGACUUAAUAUAUAUAGAUAUUCUAAUAUAACUUUUCAUGUACUUAUAAAUGUCUUCACUUUGUUUUUUUCUUUGUAGCAGUAUAAUCUCUUCUUAGAAAUUUUGCAUAUCUGACUUACUCAGAGCUACUAUAUCUUGUCAUUCUUGUGUUAUUUAUUUGAAAACAGUCAUGUGAUGUAUAAUAGCAAGUUCUUAAGCUGUCUUUUAGAGCGGCUUAUAUUUAGCUUUACAGUUGGCAGUGGACAACUGUUAAUAAGGAAUUGAAAUAAAUCUCUGAGCUGUGACAUAAAUACCUUAUAUUUAACAUGUAUUGAGAUGUCAAAUGUUGUGGCCCUUGUCCAUUUCUACAAAUUUUUAUGAACAUUAAUGUUCUUACAAAACUUAAAAAAGAAUACCUGUAGCAGUAGCAAAUCACGGAAUAUUUGCACCAAUUUUUAUAUUGUACGCCUUGUUGUGAGAGACGUUUAUUUUUUACUGUGAUACAAAGUAUAAAUGUUGAUCAGUGAAAAUUUUGACCUGAUCUAUAUUGAUGUAAUAUAUGCAAUGUGCCUUUUUAUGAGAUCGUUAUGACUGGUGUAGCACUAUAAUUACAAAAGUAGCAGACAUUUGGAUUCAGUAAUUAUUUAGUGACAUUGCACUUCUUCAAGAAGGUUGCACUUAAUUGAAGACAAAUGUAAAAUAAAUAUUUAAUAUGCUGACACGA